rnacentral:rRNA from 1 species
GACGAACCGUGCGAACGUUGUUCGGAAUCACUGGGUUUAAAGGGUGCGUAGGCGGGCAUGUAAGUCAGUGGUGAAAUCUCCGGGCUUAACCCGGAAACUGCCGUUGAUACUAUGUGUCUUGAAUAUCGUUGAGGUUUGCGGAAUAUGUCAUGUAGCGGUGAAAUGCUUAGAUAUGACAUAGAACACCAAUUGCGAAGGCAGCAGGCUAAACGAACAUUGACGCUGAGGCACGAAAGCGUGGGGAUCAAACAGG